GCCACACACAUGGUUUUCCUAAGCUGUAAAUUUUAUGGAUAAUUUCUGAUGUGGUUAGAGAUUUAUACCCCCCAACUAAGACCAGCAUCUGCAGGCAACUGCAAUGAAGCAUCAAGAAAGACAUGAGCAGGCCAGCCACCCUGAGACUGAUAAUUCAUGAGAAGACAUUUCUGUUAAAGUGGAUAGUGAGCAAAAAUGGUGGCCACGUUUUGAAGCAGCACCUGGGUUUUGCAGAUGGCUAUGUAUUCUUUGGCUGUUUGUCUUUUCCCCAUAAUGUUUCUGUUGCCUAAAGAUUCUUUGUGAGGAUGAAUCCAGAGGACACAACAUAAUGCACUGCAAAACGUCCUAAGA